rnacentral:misc_RNA from 1 species
AAAAAGUUGUUCUCAGAUACCUAAACACUAGUGUUUAUGUUGUAAAAUAAUUAUAACUUUUAAGUAGAGAAAUAGAUAAUAUGUUGUAAUAAUAUCAAGAAAAUUUUAGGACAAAACAUGUACUGUGUACUUAUUUGUAAUUAAGACUGCUGGUCUAAUAUACAGGCUAUUAUAAUAGUCAAGUUAUGAUUAGAUUUUUUAUGAAAAUCUUUAGAACGAGCACUGCUAUAACAAUCAUAAUCUAGAAAACCCAAAUUAUAUGUGUAAAAUUUAUAGAUAUAUAAAGAUCAAUUUGUAUCUUGGGGCACUCGAAAUUACGACUUGAUGUCAAAACUUGAAAAGAAUUGUAUUUGCCAUGUUUAAAAAGCAAACAAGAUCCUGAAAUAUUAAUGACCAUCUUUCCCAAAGAAAGCAAUGGAACACUAUUGUCUGUUCCAAAUGGUAGUAAUUUCUAGUCAUUUAUUCACGUGUAGCUUUUUUUUUUCUUUUUCCAUUAAUGCAGUUAUAAUCAUGAAUUUAUAAAUAAAGGAGAGAAAAAUAGAACAUUGAAUUUGAACAUGUUUUUGGUGCAGUAACUGUGUGUAUUAAUUCUGGUGGUUUUAGUAUUAUCAUCAUUGCCAUUAUUACACUUGUAUAACAAUUAUGCAUGGAACUUUUUUGACAACCAUAACAGCUGUGAACUACUUGUUGUAUGGUUGGUAUGUAUGUAUAGCAGCUUUGGAGUUGUAUGUUAAUGCUGAAAUAAAGAAAUAGCUUCGUGAGUUGUUCAAUUUAAAUAAAGGCCAUUGGAAUGAAAAAAAAAUGCCACCCAGCAUAGAGAGUAAAUCAGGCUCUUGUCUUGUGUUUAAUCCCCUUCAUGUCUUUGGUGAUCAAUUAUGUUUUCAGUGGAUCAGCUUUUGCAUUUAUAUUGUUUUGUUCUAGUCUCUACAUAAUUCUCUCAAUUUUAUAUGCACAAGAAGAAAUGAUUAAUUGAAAACUUUUGGGGAUUUUUUUUUAAUUAGCUUGGCAUGUGGAUGUAAAAAAGUUGAGACAACAAGCAAAUUUAUUGAAACUAUGGAAUCAAAUUGCAUGAAGGUAAACCAACACAUUGGUGUUGGAUCAUCCUAGAGAAGUAUUCUAUUAAAGGACGCUAGGUGGCGCUCUCCGUUUGUGUUAGAUGUAAACCAUUAUGUCUCCGUCUUCUGCUAUGUUUUUGUAUCAUAAUUCAUGUCACUUGUGCAAUAUAGAAUAAACACGUACAGAG